UCAUAUGUACAUGCCUACAAAGUUAAUGUGCCAGAUCCCAUCAAAAAUCCAUGGUUCAUAAUGCUUGGGAUAGAGUAGUACUAGGAUGGGCGACCUUGUGGGAAGUCCUAGUGUUUUACAUGCC
rfam:Picea glauca, whole genome shotgun sequence.